rnacentral:lncRNA from 1 species
AUGUCAAGAAGUAUGAAGUGGAUAUUCAAUAUAUCAGUAUUGAAUUAAUGAUUGCAAAUCCCAUGACUAAAGGAUUAUCGACCAAACAAUUUAAUGAUCAUGUGGAUCAUAUGGAAAUCAUUAGUUCAAGUUUUGUUGGAUUUGCUUCUUGUAUGACAUUUAUGAUAUUCUUAGAAAUAAAGGACAGUUUUUAUUUUAUGCGCAAAAAGUUUAUGUUAUAAAGUUGGACUCUGAAUAGCUAAUGAAAAGUUAUUCAUAAAGAAAAGUAUAAAGUAUUUAAAUAAAGAGUUUCAUGCAUCGUAAUACAU